CGCAUCUGUGCAUGCAGCAUAUCAAUAAGCGGAGGAAAAGAAACUAACAAGGAUUCCCUUAGUAACGGCGAGUGAAGCGGGAAGAGCUCAAAUUUGAAAUCUUCAAGGUUUUACCUUGACGAAUUGUAGUUUAAAGAAGUGUUUUCUGUUGAAGUUUUGGUAAAAGUUCUUUGGAAUAGGACAUCAUAGAGGGUGAGAAUCCCGUAUUUGACCAUUAUUUUCAGCUGUGUGAUACACUUUCAAAGAGUCGGACUGUUUGGGAAUGCAGUCCAAAAUGGGUGGUAAAUUUCAUCUAAAGCUAAAUAUUGGCGAGAGACCGAUAGCGAACAAGUACCGUGAGGGAAAGAUGAAAAGAACUUUGAAAAGAGAGUUAAACAGUACGUGAAAUUGUCAAAAGGGAAGCGUUUGACACCAGUGUUGUUUUCUCGAAAAUCAAUUAAAAAGAGUUUAGAUUUUGUUGUGUAUUGACCUUAACAGCUUGCAUUUCAAUUUUCUUGCUUUUUUUAAUGCACUUUUCGUUUAACAAGUCAACAUCAGUUUCUUUUGUUGUAAAAAGGUCAUUGGAAGGUGGCUUUCUUUUCGGAGAAAGUGUUUAUAGCCUUUGACUCCUGCAAUCGGAGAGACUGAGGUCUGCAGCGUAGAUCCUUCGGGGUUAGAUACAUUUGUGCUAAGUUAUAGCUUUUUAUAGACAACUUGUUGACUAUGGAUUAGUCUUGUAGCUUACUCGCUUAUGCUAUUUUACCUACGCUUAGGAUGUUGACACACGCGCGUGCUCG
rnacentral:rRNA from 1 species